AGGCGGCGCUCCCGGAGAUGCCCCGCGGCAGCCGCGCUGGAGGCUCCAAGAAACCACCACAUCUAAAAGCACCAGUGGGCUUACAGACAUAACAUGGAGUUCCAGUGGAAGUGAUUUGUCGGAUGAAGAUAAGACACUUUCUGAAUUACAGAGAGAUGAAUUACAGUUCAUCGACUGGGAGAUUGACAGUGACAGGGCAGAGGCUAGUGACUGUAAUGAAUUUGAAGAUGACGAGGGUGCUGUGGAAAUCUCAGACUGUGCUUCUUGUGCAAGUAAUCAGUCUUUGACAAGUGAUGAGAAGCUGUCUGAGCUUCCCAAGGUAGAAAAUCUGGUGUAUUAACUGUGAAAAUUUUAGAGCUGCAUGAGGAAUGUGCCAUGCAAGUUGCCAUGUGUGAGCAGUUAUUGGGGUCACCAGCCACCAGCCCGUCCCGAAGUGUGGCCCCCAGGCCUGGAGCUGGCCUGAAAGUUCUCUUCACCAAGGAGACUGCAGGCUACCUCAGGGGCCGUCCCCAGGACAUUGUCCGGAUCUUCCCUCCCUGGCAAAAACUGAUUAUUCCAAAUGGAAGUUGCCCUGUUAUUCUGAAUACUUACUUUUGUGAGAAAGUUGUUGCCAAAGAAGAUUCAGAAAAAACUUGUGAAGUGUACUGUCCGGACAUACCCCUUCCAAAAAGAAGCAUCUCUUUGGCCCAGAUGUUUGUAAUUAAGGGUCUAACAAAUAAUUCACCUGAAAUCCAGGUUGUGUGUAGUGGUGUAGCCACUACAGGGACAGCCACUACAGGGACAGCCUGGACCCACAGGCACAAAGAAGCAAAACAGCGCAUCCCAACUGGCACUCCCCUGAGGGAUUCUCUCCUGGAUGUGGUGGAAAGCCAGGGAGCUGCCUCGUGGCCAGGAACUGGAGUCCGAGUGGUAGUGCAAAGAGUGUAUUCUCUUCCCAGCAGAGACAGCACCAGGGGUCAGCAGGGGGCCAGCUCAGGACACACAGACCCAGCUGGAACGCGAGCCUGCCUUCUGGUACAAGAUGCCUGUGGAAUGUUCGGUGAAGUGCACUUGGAGUUCCCCAUGUCGAAGGCAAGACAGUUGGAAGGGAGGUCUUGCAGCCUGGUGGGAAUGAAGGUUCUACAGAAAGUCACCAGAGGAAGGACAGCGGGGAUUUUCAGUUUGAUUGACACCCUAUGGCCCCCAGCGAUACCUCUGAAAACACCUGGCCGCGACCAGCCCUGUGAAGAGAUAAAAACUCAUCUGCCUCCUCCAGCCUUGUGUUACAUCCUCACAGCUCAUCCAAAUCUGGGACAAAUUGAUAUAAUUGACGAAGACCCCAUUUAUAAGCUUUACCAGCCUCCAGUUACCCGCUGCUUAAGAGACAUUCUCCAGAUGAAUGAUCUUGGUACCCGUUGCAGUUUCUAUGCCAGGGUGAUUUACCAAAGACCACAGCUGAAGAGUCUGCUUCUUCUGGAGCAAAGGGAGAUCUGGCUGCUAGUGACCGAUGUCACUCUGCAAACAAAGGAGGAGAGUGACCCCAGGCUCCCCAAAACCCUGCUGGUCUAUGUGGCCCCCUCGUGUGUGCUGGGCUCUGAAGUCCUGGAGGCAGUUGCUGGGGCUACCCCUCACAGCCUCUUCUUCAAGGACGCUCUCCGUGACCAGGGUGUGCUUGCUUCUCCACAGCUUUGAUGCAGGGGCGACUGAUCGGUGCCCAUAGAAUACCUCUUGUGGCCUCUGGACACCUCCAUGUUGCUUGGACGCUGCCAGCACCUUCACGGAGCCCAUCACAGACAUGGCCCAUGUACCAGCCUCCAGGCUUCACUGACCCUGUAGCGGCCACCUGGGCAGAACCAGCUCCAUGGAGAUGCUGUGCUCACUCCAG
rnacentral:sRNA from 1 species